CCACGGGGGGCUGCAGUCGAGAAUCUUCCGCAAUGGGCGCAAGCCUGACGGAGCAAUGCCGCGUGAGUGAUGAAGGCCUUCGGGUUGUAAAACUCUGUCAGAGGGGGCGAAAUUUGACGGUACCCUCAGAGGAAGCCACGGCUAACUACGUGCCAGCAGCCGCGGUAAUACGUAGGUGGCGAGCGUUAUUCGGAUUUACUGGGCGUAAAGGGUUCGUAGGGGGUUUGCCAAGUCUGAUGUGAAAUUCCGCGGCUCAACCGCGGACGUGCAUUGGAUACUGUCGAACUAGAGUUCCUGAUGGGAAAGCGGAAUUCCAGGUGUAGCGGUGGAAUGCGUAGAUAUCUGGAAGAACACCGGUGGCGAAGGCGGCUUUCUGGCAGGAUACUGACCCUCAUGGACGAAAGCGUGGGUAGCGAACAGGAUUAGAUACCCCCGUAGUC
rnacentral:rRNA from 1 species